rnacentral:rRNA from 1 species
AGGGAAUCUUCCGCAAUGGGCGAAAGCCUGACGGAGCAACGCCGCGUGAGUGAUUAAGGUCUUCGGAUCGUAAAACUCUGUUAUUAGGGAAGAACAAAUGUGUAAGUAACUAUGCACGUCUUGACGGUACCUAAUCAGAAAGCCACGGCUAACUACGUGCCAGCAGCCGCGGUAAUACGUAGGUGGCAAGCGUUAUCCGGAAUUAUUGGGCGUAAAGCGCGCGUAGGCGGUUUUUUAAGUCUGAUGUGAAAGCCCACGGCUCAACCGUGGAGGGUCAUUGGAAACUGGAAAACUUGAGUGCAGAAGAGGAAAGUGGAAUUCCAUGUGUAGCGGUGAAAUGCGCAGAGAUAUGGAGGAACACCAGUGGCGAAGGCGACUUUCUGGUCUGUAACUGACGCUGAUGUGCGAAAGCGUGGGGAUCAAACAGGAUUAGAUACCCUGGUAGUCCACGCCGUAAACGAUGAGUGCUAAGUGUUAGGGGGUUUCCGCCCCUUAGUGCUGCAGCUAACGCAUUAAGCACUCCGCCUGGGGAGUACGACCGCAAGGUUG